GGGCUGUAAUUUAGUUCAAUUCAGAACUGCAGAUAGUACAGCUUCCACAGGAGCAAGGGAUGUCUGAGCACAAGUGGCUGAGUUCCGAGUGACUUUAUGAGGCACUUUCUACCUUCCUCUCCGGCAUGAAAACAGUGAUUCUGCACCUGCAUCAUGGACAGUCUGGCAAAAGCCUCUGCUCUGCCUCCGGGGACAAGAAACUAGAGCAAAUAACCAUUUUGAAAUUAGAUCCUGGCAAAAUUACCAACAAUCAGUGAUGGAAACUGAAGGGAGAUUGAUUUAAAUCUUCAAUGACAGUUGUACAGAAGUUGAAGAAACAUGUCAUCUUUCCAAAGAAGAGUGAGUAGCUUGGUUGGUGGUACCCUAAAAUUAGGGCAUGAUUAAGGUACGUCAUUUCUUUUAGUUCAAUCAAAGUGCUUUGCUGUUUCCAUUGCGGAGAAUUUCUUCUUCUUUUUUUCAAUCUCUCUCUCUCUUCCUCUUCUUCCUCUCAUUAGUAGAUGUCUUUUAUAAUUGAUGUCGUUUACUGUCCUUUCAUCAAAUGUAUGCCACAUCACUUAGGCGAACCAGCAGACAGGGCACCAAAAUACACAUUAGAGGAGACUAGCUUCCAUGAGACGCUUCGACUGUCUCAUCAGGGCACUUGUAAUAAGCGUCUUGGUGCCACUGAAUGCAAUGCUGUAUUCAAAUAAUAGCUUUCAUCUUCACCCUUUUUAAAUAUAAAAGUAAACCUUGAAGCCCUUUGAAGGACCUAACCAAACAACAUACCUAUGAAAAUAGAUCAGUAAGGCUUUGAGAAACAUUCUCAAGUAAAAUCUGUAAAGCAUCUUUGCAUUUUUUUUUUCAAGAAAGACCUCCAGGUAAAUGACGGCUUUUAAUAAGACACAUGACAAUCUCAAUUACAAGAAUCAUUAGUGUGUGUCCUGUGUGCCAUUUUAUGCUCCCAGCAGGAUAUAUCUUUUCUCAUCUAGGGUUUCCAGGGCUGUCUACUGUUCUCUAUGUGUAAAACAUAUUUAAGUGUUCCCUCAAUGCUGCACUAAUGUUGAAACAAAACAAAACAAAAACGAAAAAACCUUUGUCAAGUGGUCAGACAGACUGGAACUAGAGGAUUAUAGGUAAGAGAGAUAAAAUGAAGGGUUGAAACCUGUAAUUUCUAUUUAUGUGGUGGCAACCAAAUCAGCUGUUGGAGUCAGGCAAUUUAAAGAUGUGUCUACUGGCGCUCAGAGUCUGGGAAGAAGACACUUCUGCGUCUGACAGUGAAUCAGGCCCUCAGUUUUGAAGAUGUGCUGUAGGUGAUUCCUCGCUGAAUCCAUUUCCCAGUUAGUUUCUAUUCCCCGCCCCGUUCCUGUGUCCCCACACUUUCCACUUGAUUUUAUCUCUGACAAUUCUAUAUUUUACUUUCCUUCUUCUCAUUCCCCUUUUCCCACCCCCUUUUUUUACUGUAAUUUCUUGGCCUCUGACUACUGUUCCAUGCUGGAUGUCCCCAGAAAAUAUAGUAUGUUUAGAAAGGAGACAAUGCAUCUCAGAAGGGCCUCCCCAGUCCACUAGUUCAUUUUUGAAUGUGUUGUGGUCUAUGGGUGUCAGGAAUAUUUGUAGAUGAAGUAAUUUGAGGCAUGAAUUUUGAUAGAAGCAGGAUCACCAAUAAAAUGAUAAAUGUAGGUACCUGUCUACCUUGCAUAAUAUUCACUAUGAUCUUGAGAAUUUCAAUGUAUAAUUUGUCUUUAUUCUUAUUUUUCAUUAAAAUUAACAGAAUCUCAGAGCUGGUAGAAAGUAUAGAAACUGUAUAUACAACUCUCAUAUUCAGAUGAAGAAAAUGAUGCACAAAAAAUCAACUGUCCUAAGCCAUUCAGCUUGUCUAUAAGUGCUGUUGGCUUAAUUAUAGUUUUCUAUACUUUUUGCAUAUAUUUAGGCAAAGAAAAUACUUUCUCAGAAACUGGUUAGAACUGUUUGAGAAGAAAUAUAAUCAUCAAAAUAUACACACAGUAAAAUGUAACUGUCCAUCAUUCAACAUAGGCAAGAAUAUGUAUUGAAUUGCCUGAGUGUAUUAUGCAUAUAGCAAAACUUACUUGAAUUGCUAAUAAAUCUUCUGACCUCUGUAUAUGUAUAAAAUAUAUAAACCAAUCAAAUUCUGUAUAUAAAUAAAUUUAUUUCUGGAUACCAGUACAAUCCCCAUUUCACUUUUGUGUAUUCCAGUUAUUUAUUACUCACAGUUCUGUAUUUUAACCAGAACAAAGGGAUUACCCAGAAGAAAAGAAGGUAAGCUAUUUCAUCAGUUUUGUUGGAAAUCAGAAGUUUUUUUUCUAUUAUUAGCUUUGUAUUCUUAAAAAAGAAAAAAGAAGGAGGAAAAAAAAUCUCAUCUUCUCAUUUAUAAGAAUUCCCGUAAAAAUUGGCAGUGGUGAGGUGGGGAGCAAAUGCAUUACCAAUAAAGAGCUAGACCUAUUAUUGGAGACGAUCAGUUUUAUUCUACAGAAAAUAUAGUUUGUUCUUGAAGAUGUAAUAGACGUAAUAUUUUUUAAAGCAACAUAUUAAAUAUACCAGUAAAUAUUUUUGUUAAACAAGGCUUUUAAAAUUUAAAUUAUAUCCCUAACCUGGCUUUCUAGUUUUUCUAGAGAAAUAAAGCAAUUUUAAAGGAAAUAUCCAUUCAGAUUAAUGCUGCAAAUAUCAUACCAAAAUGUGUGUGGUGAUAUUACUGAAAAUGAGGAUUUUUGAAAACUAAAAAAGCAAAAAGUCAUUGCUCCAAAAGGCUUCAAGGCUGCCUUAGGAUUAACAAUGCAAGUCUUCAAUGCAUUUAGGUAAUCAUAAUUUGAUUAGCUUUCUAAUUCUAAACAUAUUUUGAUUCAAAUGUUUAAAAUAUGGUCAUCUCUUCAGUUAAAGAUGAACAUUUUGAUGAAAUAACAAUACUGAAAGGGUUCUCCGUCUCCACGAUUAAGUGCUACCUGUUAUUUAUUCAGAGCAUAUGUUUCAGUCUCAAAACACUGAGGACACAUCUCAGUGAAAAAAAAAAAUCAUUUUUUUUAAGAAAUCAGAAUCAUGUGGCAGUCGGCAGGCUAAAUUUGUAUUUUAUGGGCUCCAAAUUCAGAUGAAUAUCGUCAAGAUCUGAAUUGUCUCAAUGGCUGUCAUAAUUUAAAUAAUAAUAUAUCAAAAAUAUACACUGCUGUCUUAUAAUUAAUUUGUAUAUAUGGAAAAUUGAAUUUUCUUAGCCAAAAAAGUACAGGGAAAUCAUCACAAAGGAGGAUGAACAUGAUUAUUUUUACCUGUUACUUCUAUAGACUUCUCUGUAACAAUUGAUAUGAAGAUAUCAUCAGAAUUUGUAGGUGUGCAGUAUCCGUGGUAUUAAUAAAGGUAUCUAUAAUCAAAUAUAGCAGAAAUAAUUAGGCUUCUCGCCAACUGCCUUUCCUAGAAUCUUCAGGGACAGGAAGUGCAGCUGUGUAUCACCUGCCCAUAUUCUACAAAUAGCACUGAAGGAUAUAACUCAAUGAAACUUGAAAUCAGAUUGCACAAAAAUACAUUAUUCCCAAUUUUCUAUUUUUAUAUUGCUAGAUAAAUUGUAAAUUCACAGCAACAUUUGUCUAUUGUUAUCUUUAUGUUGCAAAAUUAUACUAAAUUUUGAGUGACAUCUUUAGCCAGGGGAGCCUAGAAACAUCCUUUGGCUAAAAAAUAAAAAGAUUAUAAUGUACACUAGAGAAAACAUUUCUAGAAAAUAUGCCUUUCACUGUGCCUUUAAAAACUAAGAUUUUUUUAAAGGCACAGUGAAAGGUAUAUUUUGAUCAACAGCUUAUAUUGUUUAGAAAUUUGGCUGUGGUUUCAUAUUUUGUCAACUAAUUUUCAAUCACAAAGAAAAUUUAGAAAGAGAUGAAAUAGAAAUAAAAGUCUUAUUAGGAAUAGUAAUUAUAUAGAUAGUGAAAUGACUACUUUUUUAUAAGGAGCAGUAAUUUCAUAAUGUAAUAACUUCCUUUUCAGUAAAAGAAAGUGAUUAACAAAGCUAAACAGUCACACAAGGCAAUGUACCACAUAAUUCAAAAUGCCAGUGCAAAAAUGUUAGUUAAUAAAUAAAGAUUCAAUGCUUGUCUGUAAUAAUUAGUCAUAGUUUCUGCACUUAGAAGGAAAGCUCUCCCCAGGAGUUGAGAAUUAGAGUGGAAGUGGAGAUUUUGAGUAUGAGAAAAGCGAAUUUCGCUCAUGUUGCAGGGUUACACUGCUAUGAUGGAAGGCUUUCAUUUUUCAAGUAGGAAACAUGGAAAUUACAGUAACUAUGGCCAAUUUAUAUUGGCCUAGAGAACACUUUAUUUUUCUCUGGGCCCCAAUUUCUCAACAGGUGCCGCUAUUGAUAUUUUGGUACAGAUAGUUCUUUGUCCUGAAGAAAUUUGCUGUGUAUUGGAGGAUUUUUAUCAGCAUUAUUGACCUCUCCCCAGUAGAUGCCAAUAGUAUCCCCUCCCACUAUGGUGUGUGUGUGUGUGUGUGUGUGUGUGUGUGUGUGUGUUUUGGUGGAAAUAAAUUGAAAAGAAAGGAAAAAAUAAUAGUCACAUGGAAGCUUAGGAGACAAGUCAAUAAAAGAGAAAUAUCUAGGUAGUAUGAAAUCUGAAGCUUUACACAAUAGAAAAAAGUACAUUAUAUGGAAUUGAUCCAUCAUUGUUUCAAAAAUGGUGAAAGUUGUUAAACCAGUAACUUUUAGCUUAGUUUAUCUGUAAAAAAAAAAAAAAAAAAAAAAAAAAAGCUACAUGAACAAUUCAAGAUUUAUUAAAUGUUGAAGAUUUCCCUUCAGUAUAAAUUUAUAAAUAUCUAAUUAGUGUGUGUGUUUGUGUAUGUGGCUUCUUCAUUUAGCACCUGGGACGACUUACCUAAUUUGCCCUUCAUUCUUUAUGACUUUCAUGGAUAAUUUCCCAAAGCUCCUGAGGAUUAUUUAUUUAUUUAUUUAUUUUUGGGACUGGUUCUCGCUCUGUUGCCCAGGCUGGAGUGCAGUGCCGUGAUUAUGGCUCUUUGCAGCCUCAACCUCCCCUACUCAGGUGAUCCUCCUACCUCAGCCUCCAGAGUAGGUGGAACCACAGGUGUGUGCCACCACAUCCAGCUAUUUUUUAAAAAAAUUAUUUGUAGAGAUGAAAUCCUCCUGUAUUGUUCAGGCUGGUCUUGGUAUCCUGAACUCAAGUGAUCCUCCCAGUUUGGCCUCCAAAAGUGUUGGCAUUACAGGCAUGAGCCACUUCACCUCACCAGGUCACUUACUUUGAAACCCUCUACUAGGUGAUACGAAGGCCCCAAAAUUUAAAUAUACCAAUAUUUCUCUUUUAUUAUAUUUUUAAAUUUUCAGAUUUUAAUAAGCUAUCUAGAUCCAUGAAUGUUAAAAUAGAUUUUUCUUUUGUAGACCCAGCAUUGUUCACUGAGGAUAGAUGUAGGAUCAGUUCCUUUCAGGUAUUAAUUGUAAUGUUGCUGAACAUAUUACCAUGAAUCUGUAGUAUCAAAAUUCAGAUAUAAAACUUGGGAGGAUUUAUAGUCCAACUUAUAGUAACUAAAUAAUAAAAUGGUGGCAUGAUUAUAGUUCAAUUUUUUUCUUUAUCAAGAGCUUAGGGUAACAAUGCUUUGUUUCUGUAUGUUGCACUUUUCAAUUACAGUAAAGUCUUUCCCUGAUAACAAAUAAUAUGGCAUGUGCAAUAAAGGGGAAAAGUGGAUAUGAGAACUUAUCCUUGCUGGUAUAUUUGAAAUGUGACAAAACAUUUUUUACAGUGAAUAUGUUCAAAUUGAAAAGAAAUGACAAUUUCCUUUAACUAAGUACUGGGUCACUAUUUCUUCCAACCUAGUUGUUUAAGAAACACUCAGCUACCAUAGAUUUGCUAGGCCAAAGUUUCUCAAACUUUAGCUGUGUCAGAAUUACUUGGAGGGUUUAUUGGAAUGCAUAUUGCUGGGCUUCAUGUUCAGGGUUUCUGAGAACUUGCGUUCCUAACAAGUUCUCCGGUGAUGCAGUAGUAUAGAGAGUCAUUGUUCUGGAGACAUGCUUAAUUUUAGGUACAACUUAUUUUGACUUGAGAACUUUCUCUUUAUUAAAAUAGCAAAGGCGGUGUAGAUAAAAAUAAAUAAAUUGUAUUCAUUUGGGUUUUCUAAUUUGCAACAGACCAAAUCAGCAUUACCACUGGAAAGAAUGACUUAGGAGAGUGGUUGUUUUAAUGAGAGAUUCUUUACAUGCCAUUGAAAGACAGGAAACCUUAAAAGAAAAACAAAACUGAUAAUCAACUCCUAAACGGGAAUUUGAAUUAGCUAAAAACUUUUUUGUCAAACGCCUACUACAAAGUCAGAGUUCAUUCUCCUAGACUGGCAAAUACUUUGUUAUCAAUAUUUGUUUAUAUUUUCCCAUAAUUAUCCUUAUUUCACCUGCCACAAAAGAAUUAAUCAUUUUAUGUCCUCAGUCUUCAGCCCUCCCUGAAGUACCCAAUAGCUCUUGUCCUUCUAUAUGUCAUCACCUAAGUGUAUUUUAAGACCCCACUAAUUCAAUAAUUUUAUUUAAACUUUGAUAGGAUUCUAUUAAACUUAAGGUAUAUUAUUAAUUAAACUAGAGGACAUCUACUAUAGUGAAUAAAUUAUCCAUGAUUUAAAAACAAAAUUCAAAGGUAGACAAGGCCACCUGCGGCCAUGGAGGCUGUGUAACUUCAGGAAGAACACUUACGAGUUAAUGAUAGGAAUGGCACUCUCUGGAAUUGUACAACCCAGUGUGCCUUAGUCAGAUAUAAUAGGCCAGAUUUAGCAAGACAGGCAUAAAGUUCUAGCCCUAACUUCAAAAUUCUACAGAAUGUGGGAGACAUGAAGUAAGAAUGGCACAUGGGACUUUUGGCUAUUAGUUGACCAUGAAUAGCUCAAUGUGAUUUCAAUAGUGAUAUGUAACUGCCCUCAAAAACUCUGAAGAGCUUAGAGUUUUAGCAGAGGAUGGUGUAUCUGUUAUGAGUGAGAUGAGAAGUCUCUCUCUUCGUGGCUGGUAGAAUGAAUCCAGAAUUGUCAACUUCAUAUAACUCUCACAAUAUCCUCAACCCGGCCUUAUUUUAGGUGAAACUAAUGCAUCACUUAUUUCUUUCAUUUACAAAGAAACUUAAGCUAAUAUCUACAUUCAGUAUAAUAAAUAAUACAGACCCUUCAACAGAAAAAAAACCCCCAGAAAUUAACAAACUGAAUUUCUUCAGUUAAUUGCAAUUUAAUUUUUGUGGACAAAUAUGUAUUGGUUUUGACAAUAAAAUAUGCCAAAAUACUGUAGUCUUUAAAAUUCCCAUGUGGAAAUAUGGCACCAUGAUUGUAGCUUCUGAAUGAAAAACAGAGUUUUCAGUAAUUUGUACUCUUCUGACUACAUAAUAUGGGAUGUUAGAAAGAAAUUCUUCUAAGUUGAAUACUGGAAAAAUCAUCAUCUGUUUCCUCUACUCAUCACUAGUAUACAAAGAAGGCCUUAAGCAGAUUUGCUGAUUAAUUUAUCGGUAUCUAAACACUUUGUUUUCUCUUAAUUCAGUGGAUGAGCUAUAGUACUGGAACAUUUAUAGUUAAACUUUGUUAUUUGGUUAUUGUCCUUAUAAAACCAACUUUUGCUGAUAAAACAUAUUAACACUUAUGGAUGCCUUAUAAAUCCAAUAAUACAGCUUUGAGAGCAUUUACUCUGUUUCCGACAAAUUUUAAUAAGUCUGGCCCAGCCUUUUCGACUGAAGCAAAUGUACAGACCUCUACACUUCAACAUGAAGACCUCCAGUUCAUAAUGUGCAUAUCCAAAGCACUGAUACUAAUGCUGUAUCCAGAGUUUUCAAUGGGGAGGGUAAUCUGUAAUAACAAAAUUGUAUCCCUUCCUUCCUGCAAUUACCUCACUAUCCUCACAGCCUUGACAUCUGGAAACCCACUGCUACUGUAGCAGCUGUGACUCCUCUCCUAGCAGGAAGUUAACUACACAUUCCAAAGAGCACCAAUUGUUUUGAUAUUUUCUGGCAGCUCAAAAAGCUUGGAUAUUGGUGAACACAUUAUUUUGUGGCAACCACAUUUUGGAAUUAUACACAAAUGUACAACAUGUCACAGUCUGAACAACUUACAGGUGUUAAUGUUGUCUUUCUCUUAAUGAUAUCAUAUUCCAAAUUUAAUCACUUUAAAUAUAGAGUAGUAUAUUAGAGAAUUAAACCUCAUUCUGCUCAUACUCACUUCUGCCAUCAUUUUCUCAAAUGAUCAGCACGGAAAAAGACUUACUAAAAAAUAUGCUCCUAUUUAAAUCCUUGGAAGAGAAUCAAUUAAUUUAAGUUAGAAAGUAAGUAUUGUGAGAAUCAUCCUGCCCUGUAUUUGCCCACAUAGCACCUCUGUUAUCAGAGAUUUUCAGAUACUUAUUCAUUUUCUAGAAAUCAAGACCUCCAAAAGAAGAGCAGAACUAUUAAAUGUUGGGCAAAUCCAGCUGCAUUUUAGCGUCACCAAAUGCCUAAAAUUAUUUUGUGUUUUUGAGCUGAUAAAUCUAUAUAUCGUUUAGUCAGAUUGCUCUUAUUCUUUAAAAAUAAUCAAAGGGAUGACUGCUGGAUUGAUAUACUGCAAAUUUAUCUUUGAAAUGGCUACAAAUAAUUGUUAUUCUCAUUUUAAGAGCAUUAGUGUCUUUUGUUAAUCAAAUUAAGAAUGAAAUGGAUUUUAGUACUGCCCUACAAUUACUUUUGUAAUCAAAAUGAUUGCCAAUGAUCUCCGAGAAACUAAACUGUCUUGCUACAGAACAGAUUGAGGAUUGCUUUGAUUCACAGAAAAGCUCUGGAAAAAUAUAAUUAAUUUUGAUUUAGUUUAUACUUUUAUUUUUAUUUCCGUUUUCCCUCUUCCCUACAUUUUUUUAAAAUAUGGCAAAGUUUUCCAUCGUAUAUUUUUAUUUGACCUAAUUUCCAAUUAAAUUUAAUAUUUCUCCUUGUUUAAUUAUUUCUUCUGGAAUUUUACACUCGUAGUGAUUAAAUCUCAAUCUCCUCUCUCUUAUUCUCUUUCUUUUUUCAUUCUCCUUUUCUAUCACACACAAUUUAAUAGUUCAUCUUAAGUGAUUUCUCAUGCCUUGUAUUCAGUGACUCUAAUUUCUGAUAUCCUCUUCUGGUUAAAAAUAUUUUUGCAAUGUAUUUAUAAUAUCUUUUCUAUUACACUGAUUCUGUGUAUGUUUAAGCAUUUGAUCACUUUUAUUCAAGAGUUCCUAUGAUAACCAGAAGAUACUGUGCAUUCUCAUAUUAUUUUAAUGCUCCAAUAUAUACUGCAGGCUUAAAUAACCAUAAAAGCAAUGUUUGUUUAGAAAGUGACUGGUUUGUUUACCUUCACUGCUGCAGAAAAUCUCACUAGGCAAUUUGCCUGGGGCUGAUACUUGUAACCAUUGGCAAUUAUGGAUUCUAGAAAUACCUUGAUAGGAAGUUUUUAAAAAGCUAUUUCAAAAUCAGACACAAAAAUACAACACAUUUUCUAGGAUUGUUUUUCUUGCCGUUCAGGCUGCUUGCCUUUCUUAUCUUAACUAAAAUUCACUUUUCAUCAGCCUGCAAUGAGUCACAAAAAAAUGCUGUAUCAAUCUUGGGUUGUUCCUGGACAUUCAUAGUCAGAUAAAUUAUUUUCAGAAUCAGCAAAGCAGAAUUAUUUUUAUAAAAUGGUGUCUUUACACAUCAUUGAUGUUUUGCAGAGGUCUGGACAAAACGCCAGUGAUGUACUUUUAACUGCCAAGGGAUCCACUUACACAAAUGAGACAUGGGCACACCAUUCUGCCAUCAGGGCGCUCAUCAUUUGACAUACAUAUUGGACUUUGCGGGAAACACAAAGAGAAUGCCUGGGACACUGUUCUCAUCCUCUAGAGUCUUUACUAAUAAUAUGUCAAAGUUGAGUAAUAAUAUACACUAAGUAAAAGCUUUUCAACAGAAGCAUCUCCAUUAGUCUCCACUUUGGGCCAGACAGCAAACUGAGCCUCUGUUUCUCUUAAGUACAAACUGAUCUCAAAUAUUUAGAACAAAGAAAGCACAUCCUUUCAGCUAAAAGUUACAGAUAUCCUUUGCUACAUGACAAAUGGUUGAAAUUAUCAAAUAUUUAUAACAAUAUGAUUGAAGAGUUCAGUUACAGGCUUUGGUUUUGACUGUUUGCUUGUUGAUCAGUGUUGUGCAGAAAUGCCCAAUAUGUUUGAAUUGCUUCACUUUGAGCAUGAUUUGUGCCAGAAAUAGAGCUGACUAAGCUGUUUUUUUUUUUUUUUUUCCUUUUUCUUACACAUUUAAAAAUCACUCUUUACUUUCCAAAGACCUCUUGGUCAGAAACUUGCGUUUAAGAAUUUUGUUAUGCCAUAAUAUAAUAAAAUGUAUAAAGCAGAAAAUAAAAUAAACGGAUGAUUUAUGCAUAAGACGUUUUGCCUUUAAGCUAUUCAAACUUGACUUUAGUGAAGUUUAUUAUCAAAAGUUUCUCACCUGAUAACAUAAAUUUUGACAGAAUGGAAAUGUUAGUUUUGGCCAAUAAACAUACAGCCUUUAAUCAUCCCAAAAGUUUCACCUAGGAAAGAAACUGGAAAUAGUUCUUAAGUCUAAUUAGAAUAGAGAGAUAAGUAACUUUUUUUUUUUUUUUUUUUUGAGGCGGAGUCUUGCUCUGUCGCCCAGGCCAGAGUGCAGUGGUGCUAUCUCUGCUCACUGCAAGCGCCGCCUCCCGGGUUCACGCCAUUCUCCUGCCUCAGCCUCCCGAGUAGCUGGGACUGCAGGCGCCCGUCACCUGCGCCCAGCUGAUUUUUUUGUAUUUUUAGUAGAGACGAGAUAAGUAACAUUUUUAAUACUAGAUUUAAUCUUAGCAAAAAUAUCUGUAUCUCUAACUCAAACUCACUAUCUACUUUUUAAAAAUAAUAUUGCUCAUCUUUUAAUAUAAAGGAGAAUCACCAUAUAAGCCAUUAAGAGCUAAAAUACACUAGGUGCUGGAAGCUAUCAUUGACAUACUGUCAUUCAAAAAUUAUAUAUGUAUUUGGCAUAAAUGUAAUAGUUCAUGUACAAUGAGCCAUCAAGACUAUGUGCAAAUCCCAACAACUGCUUCCUUUUUCUAGUUUUUUUUAAAGAAAUAAGACAUAAUGAAUGUAUUACGAGAAUCUCCCACACUGUAGCUUCCCCUUAAUAAUGUAAUAUAUACAUUUAAAAUUACAAUUUAAUGCUUAAAAAUUGUUAACAUUUCACAAUUUUUUAAAUUUGGAGACUUGAUCCGGAGAGCAUUGGGUGUGAUUCUGCAAAUCAUGCAGCAUAUAUUUUAUUACAGACUUUUAGCUGCUGAGGUUUCUUACAGAGGUCAAAUGUGUGUGUUUAUGUUCUGCUUAGUCUUAUGACAGAAUAUAUCACUAUUGUUUAAAAAGAAAAACAUAUAAAGAAGAGAACUACAAUGUUCUUAACUCCUAGCAUACAAAUGCCACUAAACUGUCCACAUCAAGACAUUUGAAGUUAGCAUCUCAUCAUUUUAAACCCAGAUGUGUGUAUUUUGGGCACAUUUUUUUGAGCACUACAUAAUCAUAAUGUAACCUAAAAUAACAAUGGAAGAAAACUAAGCUCUGCUUGAUAAAAUGCACUUUAUUUUACAUGGUGUUCACAGAAUGGCUUAGAUUUAAAAAAAUGAAUUCUGUCUUAGUUUAAGACAGAAGCACAAAGACAUUUCCCUUCUGGACAACAGACUUUGGCAUUGCAAGAUCAAAGGAACAAUUUUAUCUGCAUUGUGACUACAGACCAAAAGAUUUUACAGUAUUCCUGUCUCCGUGCUAAAGCCUAUGUGUCUUUAAUGGCAUUUAAAUUAUAGCCCUCUGUAGCCAUGCAGUCAAAACACCACAUCAUCUGAUGGGACACCAUGUUAUAUUCUGUCAGUAUGUCUCAUUUAAAAAUUCUUCUAUACUGUACUUGCCCUCAUUUUUCUCUUUUGGAAGAAAAUUUGAGUAAACUGCCUUUUUAACUAGGUUUAUGGGUUGAACUAAUCAAGAUAGACAAAGACAUACUUUGGCUUACAUUAUUUUAACUUAAUAAAUUUAAACCAACUUAAAGAUUUUUUUUCUUCUUUUCAUUCUUCCACAUUUUCGUUUGUUUGAUUUUAGGAUUUUCUUCUCUCUAAUGUAUCACAUGGCACAUGGCAUACUAUAGAGUUUUGUGACAUGAAAAAUAAAAAUGUGUUCCCAUCAGAAAAUUAUAGCUAGAGUAUCGCUUUUUCUAAGCAAAGUGUUUUAUGUUAAACUGAUUUAUAAUAGAAUGACUAUUAUAUAUAAAAGACAGGAGCUGUUCUCUGAAUUCUGCUAUAGCACAUAAUGCAGAUGGUGUGUUUCAAAUGUCACUGGAGAGACAAAUUUUCAUUUGAAUAUGUACUUCUAACGUGUUUAUUAUAGUAACUUAACAAUAAAAACUUGCUGAAAAUUAGCAUUUUACUCAGAAUAUUCCUGUACAUAUAAAAAUAAGAUGUUACAUUUUCUUGAUCUGCAGUCCAAUACUCACUCCUGAGCUGCACACCCUCCUAGAUGUUACAUUUUCUACAGAAGCAAUGAGCUUUUUCUCAAAAAUAGAUGUAAUCAGGAACACACAAUUAACCUACACUUUCCUGAUAUCCAAUAUUAUAUAUAUUGAUAAGUAGUUAUAGCCAUUUUAAAAAGUAAAACUCAUUUUUUUCAGGAGCAUAUGCUAGAUUAGUAACUGAUGGAUAACUUUGCUUUCAUGCUUCAGAAUACAACAGGGAGUUUCAUGCCUUUUUAAGAGUAGUUUUAAAUAACUUGAAAAUAUAAUGAAUUUUUAAAUCACAUGUUCAUUUUAAGAUUGAGAUGCAAUAUGCUUGUUGAGGAUAAGUGAUUUUAACAUGCCCAUCGGAGGCAUUUCUUUAAAGUGACAUUAUCUUAGAUAAAAUCAACUGAGAAUAUUUAUGAGGAUAUGUAUAUCUGUUUUGGAAAAAGCCAACCAUUACAAUAAACUGAUUCUGAUUUUGACUGACUUUUAUAACUAUUAUUUUUGUGUAGAAAAUCACAUCUUCUGUUUGCUACAUAUAGAGUAGAAAUAAAGGGGCCUACUGGAAACAUAACAGAUUUGAGGAGUUAAGUCUUUUUCUCAAUCUGGAAAUGCCAAGGAACCUUUGACAUAUUUUACUUAGCUGAGGAACCAGGUAAAAAAUGUAGAAUGUAUUUAUUGAGAAUGGGGAUAAUUUAUUAUAAGACUUUCUCAUUGAAUUAGGAUUGGAUGUCUCCAUACUUGGUGGACAUUUGAUAAGAAAUCAUUGUCAAAUAAGAAAUUAUUGUCAGAAUAUUAUGUGUCUAAGUGGGAACAUAUGAUGUAAUAUUUUCAUUAAAAUACUUUUUUUCUUAUUGGGAGCAAAAAACCAUAGUGGUUUUCAGAGGCAAAAGACUAGAGUAGAAAGAACACUUUUCUUUGUGUGGAAAAUAGUUAAUUUUAUAUCCCCAUUCUCUUCUACCCCACAACACUAGGAUAAUUCCCAGAACUGUUUCUGGAAAUAUAUUAUUUGAUAAAUACUAAAGAAUAUGUGCAAUAUAAUGAACACUUGUAAAUCUGCUAUCCAAUUUAAGAACUAGAGCAGCAUCAAAAUUGAUAAAGCAACCUCUGUACUUCUCUGCCUUCUCUCCCUCAGAGGUUACUAUUAUCAAAGCCUCCACAUACAGUUGUGCAGGUUGUGUACUUUACAAAUCUAGGGAAUGCCUACCCUUCCAUACAGUUCUGAUAUGAACGAUGCCCCUUAAAGUGUGCCGUGCAUCACCUACACAGAUUUUCACGAUGGUUCUCCAUCCUCCUGAAUUUCAGGGUUACCUUUUCAAAUGAAAGCUUAGCUUAGUUUGGGCUUUACAAAAAUGGUAACAUUUUAUACAUAUUCCUACUAUUACUGGCUUUUCUUCAGUCAAAAUAUGUUUCUAAUUGUCAUCUACAUUGUUGCAUAUAGUUUUAGGUUUAUUUUAUUCCUUGGGGUAUAGUAUUAAAUUAUGUAAGCAUUCUUAAUUUAUUUUUUGUUCUCUUUUUUGGACAUCUAAGUUGUUAUCUGCUUUGGAAUUAAGCAAGCUGUUGCAGCAAGUAUUCUUGUAUGCAUCUCUUGGAGCACAUGGUCAAUAAAUGCUCUAAAGUAUGUACUAGAAUAGAUAUUUCUGAGUCAUAGGUUUGUGGAUGGAUGAAGGGUAUAUAUGUGGAAGGUAAAACUUUAAAACUCUAAUGAAUAUAUGUGAAGCAUAUUAUGCUAUUAAUAUAAAACUAGACAAGCUUCCUUUUAAAAGACCUAAAUAUUUUCUAAUAUUAAAUACUUUCAUCACUUUUACAAGUAUUAUUUGUGCACAGGCAUCAAUUCUAUUUAUAAGUAGCUACUUGAGUGGUUUUAUAAAAUACCUGCCUUGCUAAAUCAAUCAACAACCAUUCUCCCCAAAUCUGUUAUCUAUAAGAGGAAGCAAAGCCAGAAUCCAUUUUGGUUAUCUUAAUAUUAAUUAAACAAAUUUAUUUUAAACUCAAGGAAUGGAGAUUAAAAUUAAAGGACUGAGCCAAUGCAAAAAUGACCCAUUUCAUUUUUCUUCCCAUACCCUUUUCAAACCACUUUGGGAAAUACUAAAUAUUAACACCAAACCUGAAGAUUAUAAUUACAAUCAUAAGUAUAAGAAAGUAGAGAAAUGUACAGAAAAUUACUAGAUAGAUUUUUUUUAUUGUGGUAAAAUGUACAUGACAUAAAUUUAACAAUUUUAACCAUUUUAAGUGUACAGUUCAGGGGCAUUAACUACAUUCACAUCAUUGUGCAAAAUCACCAUCAAUCAUCUCUACCUCUUCUAUUAUUUACCUUUUCAAACUAAAACUCUGUACUCAUUAUACAAUAACACCUAACACCUAUCCUGCCUCCUUCUAUCUCCUGUCAACCACCAUAUUACUUUCUGUCUUUAUACAUUUGACUACUCUAGUUAUUUCAUGUAAGUGAAACCAUGUAAUAUUUGUCUUUUCGUGACUGACUUAUUUCACUUAGCAUAAUGUCUUCAAGUUUCAUCCAUAUUGUAGCAGAAUAUUCUUCAUUAAGGCUGAGUAGUAUUCCAUUGUGUGUGUGUGUGUAUAUAUAAAAUCAUAAGAUAUUACAUAUAUAAUCAUAAGAUAUUUUAUAUAUGUAUAUCACAUUUUGUUUAUCCAGUCAACCAUUGAUGAACAGAGAGCAGUGGGUUGCUUCUACCUUCUGAUAAUUGUAAAUACUGUUUAUUUGAACAGAAGUAUACAAAUAUCUUUUUUAGUCUUUGCUUUCAAUUAUUUUUAGCUAUGAAGAUUUUUAAGAAGUCCCAUUAGUUUUCAUCCUGGGCAGUUGCCAUCCUAGGUGUUAAAAGAAAAUUCUGAGACUGGCCGGGCAUGGUGGCUUAUGCCUAUAAUCCCAGCAAUUUGAGAGGCUGAGGCAGGUGAAUCGCUUGAGCUCCAGCCUGGGAAACAUGACAAAACCCCAUCUCUACAAUAAAUACAAAAUACACCACAGGGCAUGGUGACAUGUGCCUGGAGUCCCAGUUACUCAGAAGGCUGAGGUGGGAGAAUCGCUUGAGCCCAUGAGACAGAGGUUGCAGUGAUCUGAGAUCGCACCACUGCUCUCCAGCUUGGGGAAUAGAGCUAGACCUUGUCUCAAAACAAAACAAAACAAAACAAAACA